rnacentral:misc_RNA from 1 species
GAAAUGCGAUAAGUAAUGUGAAUUGCAGAAUUCAGUGAAUCAUCGAAUCUUUGAACGCACCUUGCGCUCCUUGGUAUUCCGAGGAGCAUGCCUGUUUGAGUGUCAUUAAAUUCUCAACCCUUUCAGCAUUUUGUGACUGAUUGUGGCUUGGAUGUGGGAGAUUCUGCAGGCCUCACUAUUUGAGGUCAGCUCUCCUGAAAUGCAUUAGCGGAACUGUUUGCAGUCCAUCACUGGUGUGAUAAUUAUCUACGCCAAGCCGAAGGCUGCUCUCCUUCUGUUCAGCUUAUAACUUGUCUCUCUGUAGACAACUUUUGAACAUUUGACCUCAAAUCAGGUAGGACUACCCGCUGAACUUAA